GACGCACCGCCUGCAGAUAAGACACGAAAGAUUGGAACAACCGGUGCCUGCACCGACCGGGCCUCGCGCUAUUGCCUUGCGUCCGCCAGUGUUCUGCGUAUCGUGGCUCGACGUGGCUCUGCGUCGUUUCCUGGGAUCUGUUCGAGCUCCUCUCACCGGACACCAUGUACCCGUCAAGCGGCGGCUUCAAUGUGCCGUUCGUGCGCCAGCUGGACGGACCCUUUCACCCCGGCCGCGUCAUCGCCUUCAGCGGCACCAUCCCGCACCAUGCCUCCAGGUUCGAGCUGAACCUGCAGUGCGGCGGCGCGGAGCCCAGCAUGUCGGACAUCGCGCUGCACGUGUCGGUGCGCUUCGACCAGUACUGCGUGGUGCGCAACACCAAGCAGGGCGGCUGGCAGCACGAGGAGCGUGACGGCGGCAUCCCCGGCACCGUGCGCCCCGGCGCCGCCUUCCAGAUGCUGGUGCGCUGCGAGCCCCACGCCUUCAAGAUCGCCUUCAACGGCCAGCACUUCCGGGACUACCGCCACCGCCUGCCCUACCAGCGAGUGACGCACGUGAGCGCGGACGGCAACAUCCAGAUGUACAGCGUGUCCGGGGUGCUGGGGCCCUGCUCCAGCUCCACGCAGCAGACGCACAACCCGGGCGUGCCCCACACCCAGAUGAUCGGCUCCAUCUACCCUGGGCGCUGCCUCCGCGUCAGGGGCUUCAUUCCCCAUAACGCCUACAGGUUCAGCGUGAACCUGGCGACGGGGCCGUCCAUGACCGGGGACGACAUCGCCUUGCACGUGUCCACGCGGCCCUCCGAGGGCAUCGUGGAGAUCAACACCUGUCGGCGCGGCGGCUGGGAGAACGGCCAGCAGCACCGGCCCUGCCCCGUGCGCGCCGGCCAGCACUUCGAGAUGAUUGUCAUGGUGGAGGACUACAACUACAGGAUCGCGUUCAACGGCGUGCACUUCGCCGAGUGGCCGCACCGCCACCCGUACCAGCACGUGAGGAGCGUCAUCGUGGAGGGCACCGUGCAGCUGCAGCUGGUCAGCCUGGAGGGGGAGCCGCGGUCCGGGGGCUACGCGCCGCCGCCGCCACCCUCCUUCUUCCCGUCGCCCUACGACGACCCGCACCACUACCCCAGCCCCUACCCGAUCCUCUACUAGGACAUUCAGACCGGCCGCAGGCAGCCACAGCCUGUAUACGCUGCAUGCGACCCGAUUGGUUUUUGAAUCGUUUUCAAUGUGCAGACGCAAAGUAAAAUAAAGGGCAUCCUUGGGGACUUGCGGUUGUACAAGUCUGUCUCCGCGAGGUCGCGGUGCACGCUGCUUA
rnacentral:misc_RNA from 1 species